CUCUGUCCCAAAAAUAAAUAAACGUUGAAAAAAAAAAUUAAAAAAAAAAAAAGAUCAAGUUGGAAAUAACUGAGAUCUUGAUAAUAUGAGUCUUCCUAUCCAUGAACAUGGAAUACCUACCUCUCUUAGUAUUAGUUCUUUGAUUUCUUUCAUCAGCAUUUUGUAGUUAUCCCUCAUAUAGAUAUUGUAUAUUUUGUUAGAUUCAACCUAAGUAUUUCAUUACUUAGGGGGGAUGCUAAUGUAGAUUAUAUAUUACUUUUAAUUUCAAAUUCCAUUUGUUCAUUGCUGGUAUAUAGGAAAUGAGUGACUUUUGUAUAUUCAGCUUGUAUCUUGCAUCCUUACUAUGAUUGCUUCUUAAUUCCAAGAGUUUUUUUUAAGACUUUAUAUUUUAGAGCAGUUUAGGUUUAUAAUACAAUUGAGAAAAAGGUACAGAGAUCUCUCAUAUCCUCCCUGACCGUUUGCAUGCACAGCCUCUCGCAUUACCAACAUCACUCACCAGAAUGGUACUUUAAAAAAUGUUUUUAGUGCUUAUUUAUUUUUGAGAGAGAGAGAGAGAGAGACAGAGACAGAGACAGAGACAGAGCAUGAGCAGGGGAGGGGCAGAGAGAGAGGGAGACAUCAAAUCUGAAGCAGGCUCCCGUCUCUGAGCUGUCAGCACAGAGCUUUAUGUGAGACUUGAACUAACCAACAGUGAGAUCAUGACCCGAGUUGAAGUCCGAUGCUUAACCUACUGAGCCACCCAGGUGCCCCGGUACUUUUUUUUUUUUUUUAAACCGAGGAUGAACCUAUAUUGACAUCAUAAUCACUCAGAGUCCAUAGUUUAUUUUAGGGUUUGCUCUUGGUGUUAUACACUCUAUGGGUUUGGACAACUCUCCAAUGGCACAUAUUCAUCAUUAUAAUAUCAUACCGAGUAGUUUCAUUGUCCUAAAUAUCCUCUGUGUUUUGCCUAUUCACCCCACCCCCACCUCAGCAAUCACUGAUCUUUUUGUUGUCUCCACAGUUUUGCCUUUUCCAGGAUAUCAUAUAGUUGGAACCAUAGAGUAUGUAGCCUUUUCAGAUUGGCUUCUUUCACGUAGUAAUAUACAUUUAAAGUUUCUCCAUGUCUUCUCAUGGCUCGAUAGCUUAUUGCUUUUUAGUGCAGAAUAAUAGUCCAUUGUCUGGAUGUACCACAGUUUGUUUAUCCACUCACCUACUAAAGGAUACCUUGGCUACUUCCAAAUUGCAGUAGUAAUUAAUAAAGCUGCAGUUCCAGGGGUUUUUCCUUUUUUCCUUUGGAUUUUCUACAUAGACAAUGAUGUUGUUUGUGAACAGAGACAGAUUUAUUUCUUCCUUCCCAAUCUUUAUGCCUUUUUCUUUCUUCUUCUUGUUUUAUUGCAUUCACUAAUACUUCCAGUAUAAUGCUGAAAAUUUGUAUGAGUGGGGACAUCCUCGUCUUUACAUGAUUUUAGUGGGAAAAUUUCUCACUAUUAAGUAUAAUGUAAGCUGUAGGUUUUUUGUAGAUGUUAUUUAUCAAGUUGAAGAAGUUCCUCUCUAUUCCUAGUUUGCUGAGGCUUUUUAUCAUGAUUAGGUGUUGGAUUUUGUCAAAUGCUUUCCCACCAUCUAUUGGUAGAUCAUGUGAUUUUUCUUCUUUAGCUUGUUUAUGAGAUAUUAAUGUUAUUAUUUAUUUUGAUACUCAACUUGUCCUUAAUUUAUCAGGCGGGAGCCCCUUCAUACUGCUUUCUGUUCUUAUGAUAUAUCCUCAUUUAUCUUUGAGUGAUUCUUUAAAGUCUAACACAAAAAGAUGUUUCAGGCUCAUCUCGUACUUUCCCUACCCUGGUCCUGGAAACAGCCACUUCCCCAAGGAUCUCUAGUAAUUUUUAGUGUGGAAUGUAUCUAGAAACCCAAGAUCUGGGCUCUAGGUGUGUUCACUGUUAUGCCGGGUGGGGUGGUGGCAGGUGCUCCCACACAUAUUGUUAUAUUUCUGUUUCUUUCACUCUAGUCAGGACUGUCCUGCUGUGCAGACAUCCUUUUCAUUUUACCACUCUGCCUUUGGCCACACUCCUGUGGGAAUGUUGUCUCUAACACCCUGGUGCUGGACCAUUCCCACCCCCAUGUGACCAGCCCCUUACCUUGCUGGGGCUUCAACAUCUGUUCAGGAUCACCUCUUUAGGCUCUGACACCCCACAUUAGACCACUCUCUACCUGUUGUGACUCUCCAACUCCACCCUUGCCUGGCCUCGCCUUACCUAGUGCCUCUUGGCUAAAGUGUUCAGAAAGGAAAGAGAAAGGUAGAGAACAGAGAGAGGAAGAAGAGGAGGUAAUGGGUGAAUUUUUUAAUUAAAGCAUAAAAUGCCUACAGAACAGUGCACAAAUGAUAGGCCUGAAGUUCAGUGAUUAUUUACAGAGUGAACACAUCCUUGUAACCACCACCCAGAUGGUUUACAUACUAAGGGAUCAUUCCAGCUUCUGUGUGGAGAACAGAUGUAAAGGAAGUCAAGAGUGGACACAGGAAGAUUUGUUGCAUGUUGAUUUCCAGGUGAGAGAUCACAGGAUCUUAGACCAGGGAGAAUGUGGUGAAGGGUGAGAAGUGGCUGGAUUCAAGAUUUGUUUUGAAGGAAGAGCUCACAGAAUUUGCUCCUAGAUUAAAUGUGGAGCAUGGAGGAGGACAGGAGUCAAGGAUGGCACAAGGAUUUUGACCUGAGACCUACGUGAAUGGAUACCACCAUUUGCCAAGAGGGGGAAAUCCCAGGGAAGUCCUCCCUUAUCCUGAGAAAUAUCAAAUGUUCUCAUUUGGACACAUUAUAGUUGAGAUGCCAAUUAGACAUCCAAGUGUGGGGGUUCGACAGGCUGCUGGGGUUUCCAGACAGUAGUUCUGGUUGAAGAUAUCAAUAUGAAGAUCUUCAGUAGACAGAUGACAUUUAAAGGUGUGGAUUGGUGGCUCAGUUGAUUGAGUAUCCAACUCUUGAUUUCAGCUCAGGUUGUGAUCAUUCACGAGAUUGAGCCCUAUCCCCAUUUUGUGCUCCCCCCCUCCUCCGUCCCUGCGUGCUGGGCGUGGAGCUUGCUUGGGAUUCUUUCUCUCUCUCCCUCUGCCCUUCCCCUACUCACACCCGCACUAUCUCUGUCUCUUAAAAAAAAAGUGUAGAUUGGGUGAGAUCACCCAGAAAUGAGCACAGGUGGAAAAGAGAUCUAAGAGAUCGCUUAGCCUUGGAGCAUUUGAGAGUUGGCAGAAGAGUCACCAGAGUAGCCUGAGGAUGUCAGAUGCCUCAUCUAUAAAAUGGGUAUAAUACCUCUUUGGCAGGAUCAUUAAGGAUUGACUGAUCAUUAAGGAUUAUGUUAAAGACCCUAAUGGGUAGCUAAUAUUGACCUUUCCAUUCCCUGCUCUCCCCAAAACUAGACUUCUCCUCUUACCAUUGUCCUGAGACUCUCCUAUCUCCUUACUUCCUUUUUGUGUCUCUCCCAAUUUCUCUUAUCUCAGCCUCCCAACACACUCAGUGAAGGGAACUUGACCCCUCUUUCCUCCUUUCAGUGAGGACUGACUUGCAAGUGUCUCUCCCAAUUUCUCUUAUCUCAGCCUCCAAACACACUCAGUGAAGGGAACUUGACCCCUCUUUCCUCCUUUCAGUGAGGACUGACUUGCAAAACUCCUCUCUGUGAGCUUAUAUCACUUUCUGCCUUUCCCCCCAUCACCUGUCACCCUGUUUAAGAAAAGUAAAUUUUUACCAUUAUUUUUGAAAUUCUUUGUGUGCCACCCUCACUUCUCAGAGGUAGUUUAACCAGAUGAUUGUGUUUCUAAGAAUAAAUACCAUCUCCUUUUUGAAUUUUUAAGCUUUAUAAAAAUGGAAUCUUGUGUUCUUCGGUCACUUGCUUUGAGUAUUCAGCAUUUUACUCCUGAAAUACAGCUGGGUAGCUGCAGGUAGUUGUAAUUCAUUUAUUAAUUCAUUAAAUAAGCAGUUUAUUUAUGCAUUCUACAGUUCAUCGGCUUUCUGGUUGUCUCCAGAUUUUGCCAUUACAAGCAGUGCUGCUAAGAGCAUUUUGUCUGUCCUCUGUGGUGCAGGUACAAGAGUUUUUUUAGAGUAGGGAUAUCUAGGUAUACUCUAGGAGUGGAGUUGCUGCUUCAAGGGAAUGCACAUUGUCAACUUUUCUAUAGAUGGAACCUUGUUUUUCAAAGGGCUUGUACCAAUUUACACUACCAACAGUUGUAUAUGUGUUUGCUUCAUGAUCAGGAAUCAAACAGAGGUGUUUUAUGACCAUCUGUAUUCAGUGUGGUAGUGUUUCACAAUCUUUGUUUAGUAUGAGUAGGUUUUUUGAUUUUGAAAAUGUGGUAACACAUUAUAGUUUUAAUUUGAAUUUCCUGAAUACUAACGAGGUUGGAUGUCAUUACAUGUUUCAUUAGUCAUCUGGUUUCCUCUUCUGUGAAGUGCUUUUUUAAAUCUUUUGUCUGUUGGAUUGUUUCAUCUUUUACUUCUUAGUUUGUAGAAGUUCUUUAUGUAAAUUCUGACUAUGGAUGGCAAAUGUCUUUUCCUAGUUCAUGCCUUGUUUGUUCAUUGUCUUUAUGAUGUGCUUUGAUGAAAGCUCUUAUUUUAAUGUAAUUAAAUUUACUAUUCUUUUCCUUUAUGGUGAGUUCUUUUUUUGUCUUAAGAAGUCUUUCGCCUGUCACAAAGUUCUUAACAUUAAUUUCUUUUGUCUACUAAAAAGUUUUAUACAUCUUUAAUCUACCUGAAGCUAGUUUCAGUGUAUGGUGUGAUGUAAGGAUUCAUUCCCCUGUCCCAUAUGUAUAACCAAGUGUCCCAGCAGCAACUAUUGAAGAGACCACCCUUUUCUCAUUGAUCUACAAUGCCAAGUUGGCCAUAACUCAUAUGUUGAUAUAUGCGUGGGUCUAUUUCUAGGCUGUCUAUUUCCAUCGAUUUCCCAUUCAUUUUGUCUAUCCUCACACCAAUAUUUCAUUGUCUUAAUAACAAAUAGCUUUAAAAUGAUUUUGAAUAUCUUUAAAGAUAAGCCUUCAUUUUGUUCUUCUCUUGAAUGAAAUAAGUUGGGAAAUGUUCCUUCUUUUCCAUUAUUCUGGAAUAGUUUGUGUGAUUUUGGAAAUACUUACAGAUUUUGUUGAUAAAACCAUCUGUGUUGAUCUUCCCUUUCUGGGAGUUUUUAUUGAAGCGAAAUUCCUUAGUGGUUUUAGAGUUAUUCAGAGUUUCUAUUUCUUCCCAAGUCAGUUUUGGUAAGCUAGAUUUUUUUUUCCCUUGGAAUUUGUCUGACUCAUGUAAGCAUUCACAUUUUUUGGCAUAUAAUUGUUUAUAGUAUCUGCUUAUUAUCAUUUUAAACCUCCACAGCAUCGGUAGCUACACCUUCCUUUCUAUUAUUCUUUGUGCUUUUCUUCUUUUUGAUUUUUAUAAAUUUUGUCAGAAUUUCUUUCAAUUUUUUAAUCUUGUUUCUCUUUCAGCAUUACUUUUGUCACAAGUUUGAAUUUUAAAUAAUCUCAAACUUACCCAAAGUUGUAAGAAUAGUACAGUGAAUGCAUACUUUCUUUACUUAGCAUCACAAAGUAUUAACAGUUUGCCACAUCUAAACUCUCUCUCUCUCUCUCAUUGUGGUUUUCAGAACAAUUUUAGAGUAAGUUAGAGACGUCAUGACACUUUACCCUGAAACAAUUAAGCACCUAUUUCUUGAGAACGAGGACAUCCUCCUAUGUAAUCUCAAUACAAUGAUCACACUCAGAAGAUUCAACAUUGAUAAAAUACUUUUAUUAAUCUACAACCAUAAUCAAAUUUCCCCAUUGUCACAAUAAUUAAAUUUAUAGCUGUUUUAUCUCUUUUAAGUAUAAGAUUCAAUAAACUAUUGUGCAUUGCACUAGAAAGGACAUUUAGUUGUCCCAUCUCUUUACUUUAAUCUGUAACGGUUCACCAGCCUUUAAAGAAAAACCCUUUUAUGACAUUGUCAUUUUUGAAGGGUUCAUAACAAUUAUGGAAUAUUCCUUUGCAGGCAGAAUAAGGUCUCCCAAAGAUGUCCAUAUCCUAAUCUCUGAGAGCUGUGACUAUGUUACCUUAUACGGCCAAAGAGACUUUGGAGAUGUGAUUAAGGGAUCUUGAGAUGGUCAGAGUAUCCUAGAUUAUCAGGUGGGCCCAAACUAAUUACAUUUGUCCUUAAAAGUCGGAGAACCUUUACUGGCUGAGUCCGAAUGACAUGAGGUGGAAGAAGAAGGAGGAGAGAUGCAAAGUGUGAGAGAGAUUUGACCUGCGAUUGUUGGCUUCCAAGAUGGAGGCAGGGGGUAUGGGUCAAGGAAUGUGGGAAGUGGUCCUAAACUGCAAACGAUCAUAAGGUGACAGCUAGCAAGGAAAUAGGGAUCUCAGUCUUACAACCACAAGGAACUGAAUUCUACCAACAGACUGAGCAAGGAGGUGGACCUGUCCAGGAGCUUCUGAAAAGGAAUGCAGUCCUGCCGAACCAUGUUUCAGUCCAGUGAGACCCAGGUCAGAUUACUGACCUGCUGAACUACAAAAUAAGAAAUCUGUGUUGUGUUAAGCCAUAGCAAACUUAAUUUGGGGGCACCUGGGUGGCUCAGUCAGUUAAGUGUCAGAUCUUGAUUUCAGCUCAGGUCACCAUCUCACGGUUUGUGAAUUCAAGCCCCACGUCGGGUUCUGAGCUGCCUGCUUGGGAUUCUCUCUCUCUUCCUUUGUCUGUCCCUCCUCUGCUCAUUCAUUCUCUCUCUCUCUCUCUCAAAAUAGAUAAAUAAGCUUUAAAAAAAGUCAACUUAAUUUGGAUUUGUUUGAUUGCUUCUUCAUGAUUAGAUUCAAGUUUAUUCAUCUUUUCAAAUAAUCAACUUUUGGGUUUAUUGAUCUUCUAAAAUGUAUGUUCUCUAUUUCAUUAAUCUCUAUUUUUAUUGUUUCCUUCACUGUACUGUCUUGGAAGUUACUUAAGUAGAAUAUUUAACUCCUUCAUUCUUUGCAAUAUAACCAUUUAAGGCUAUAGAUUUCCUUCUCGAAAUCCUUAUAGCUGUAUCCCACAAGUUAAAAAAAAUUUUUUUUAAUGUUUAUUUUUGAGAGAGAGAGACAGAAUGUGAGUGGGAGAGGGACAGAGAGAGGGAGACACAGGAUCCGAAGCAGGCUCCAGGCUCUGAGCUGUCAACACAGAGACUGACGUGGGGCUUAAACUCACGAACUAUGAGAUCACAACCUGAGCUGAAGUUGGCGUUUAACUGAUUGAACCACCCAGGCUCCCCUAUCCCACAAGUUUUGAUAUGAAAUAUUUUCAUUAUCAUUCAAUUCUAAAUAUUUUCUAAUUUCCAUUAUGAUUCCUAUUUUGCUCCAUGAGUCAUUUAGAAAUGGUUUUACAAUCAACAAAACUAAAAGGCCGCCUAUGGAAUGGAAGAAGAUACUUGCAAAUGACAUAUCUGAUAGAGGGUUAUUAUCCAAAAUCUAUAAAGAACUUAUCAAACUCAAUACCCAAAAGCCAAAUAAUCCAGUUAAGAAAUGCACAGAAGACAUGAAUAGACAUUUUUCUUUCAAAAAAUUUUUUUAACAUUUUAAUCAUUUUUUUUUCAACGUUUAUUUAUUUUUGGGACAGAGAGAGACAGAGCAUGAACGGGGGAGGGGCAGAGAGAGAGGGAGACACAGAAUCGGAAACAGGCUCCAGGCUCUGAGCCGUCAGCACAGAGCCCGACGCGGGGCUCGAACUCACGGACUGCGAGAUCGUGACCUGGCUGAAGUCGGACGCUUAACCGACUUCGCCACCCAGGCGCCCCAACAUUUUAAUCAUUUUUAAGAGACCGAGAGAGACAGAACACGAGUGGGGGCGGGGCAGAGACAGAGGGAGACGCACAACCUGAAAGAGGCUCCAGGCUCCGAGCUGUCAGCACAGAGCCUGAUGUGGGGCUCGAACCCAAGAACCGUGAGAUCAUGACAUGAGUUGAGUCGGAUGCUCAACCGAUUGAACCACCCAGGUGCUCCGAAUAGACAUUUUUUCCAAAAAAUACAUCCAGAUGGCUAAUAAACACAUGAAAAUAUGCUUCAUCAAGGAAAUACAAAUCAAAACCAUGAUGAAAUACCACCUCACAACUGUCAGGAUAGCCAAAAUUAACCAACAAGAAACAACAAGUGUUGGCGAGGAUGCAGAGAAAGGGGAAUCCUUUUGCAUCGUUGGUGGGAAUGCAAACUGGUACAGCCCUCUGGAAAAGACUAUGGAGGUUCCUCAAAAAGUUAAAAAUAAGGCUACCAUAUGAUCCAGCAAUUGCACUGCAAGAUAUUUACCCAAAGGAUACAAAAAUAUAGCUUCAAAGGGGUACAUGCACCCCAAUGUUUAUAGCAGCAUUAUCAACAAUAGCCAAGCUAUGGAAAGAGCCCACAUGCCCAUUGAAUGAUGAAUGGAUAAAGAAUAUUUCAACACAAUGAAAUAUUACUCAGCUAUCAAAAAGAAUGAAAUCUUGGGGCACCUGAGUGGCUCAAUCAGCUAAGCAUCCGACUUCAGCUCAGGUCAUGAUCUUGUGGUUCAUGAGUUUGAGCCCCCCAUCAGGCCCUGUGCUGACAGCUCAGAGCCUGAAGCCUGCUUUGGAUUCUGUGUCUCCCUCUCUCUCUGCCCCUCCCCCCGAUCACAUUCUGUCUCUCCUGUCUCUCUCUCUCUCACAAAAAUAAAUAAAACAUUUAAAAAAAAAGAAUGAAAUCUUGUCAUUUGCAAUGAUGUGGAUGGAGCUAGAGGGUGUUAUGCUAAGUGAAAUAAGUCAGUCAGAGAAAGACAAAUACCAUAUGAUUUCACUUGUAUGUGGAAUUUAAGAAACAAAACAGAUGAACACAUGGGACGGGGGAAAAAAUAGAGAGAGAGGGAAACAAACCAUAAGAGACUUUUAAUGAUAGAGAAUGAACUGAAGGUUGAUGGGGUGGCAGUAGGGGGCGGGGAAAAUGGGUGAUGGGCAUGGGGGAGGGCACUUGUUAUGAUGAGCACUGGGUGUUGUAUGUAAGCAAUGAAUCACCGAAUUCUACCCUUGAAGCCAAUAUUGCACAUAUGUUAACUAACUAGAAUUUAAAUACAAAUUUAAAAAGAAAAAAAAAAAGAAAUGCUUUUAAAUUUGGAAAUACAUGGAGUUUCUCUAUUAUGUUUUUAUUGAUUUAAAUUUUUUUUUUUUGCAUUAUGCUUAAAGAAUGCGAUCCUCCAAAAUCUUUGAAAUGUUCAUGAGAAUUGAUUCAUGUAUGCUUGAGAAUAUAUUGACUGCGUUGUUCUAUAUAUGAUCAUCAGAUCAAGCUUAUUAAUUGUGUCAAAUUUUCUGUAUGCUUACUGAUAUUUGGUCUGUGCUAUCUAUCAAUUACUGAGAAAAGUGUGUUAAAACCCCUACUAUACGGUGGAUUUAUCAAUUUCUCCUAUAGUUCUGUCAGUUUUUCCUCAAGAGUUUUACGUUUAUGUUAUCGAUUGCAUACAGGUUUAGAAUGUUUUAUCUCUUUGGUGAAUUGGACCUUUUAUCAUUAUUUAGUGACCUUCUUCAUUCCUAAUAAUACUUUUUGCAUUAAAGUAUAUUUUUCUGCGUUUUCACCAAGAUGGUACCAAAGGUGAAGAAGGAAGCCCCUCCCCCUCCCAAAGUCGAAGCCAAAGCCAAAACCGAAGCAAAGGUUCUGAAGGCCAAGAAAGCGGUGCUGGAAGGCAUCCACAGUCAUUUUUUUUUUUAAUUUUUUUUUUCAACGGUUUUAUUUAUUUUUGGGACAGAGAGACAGAGCAUGAACGGGGGAGGGGCAGAGAGAGAGGGAGACACAGAAUCGGAAACAGGCUCCAGGCUCCGAGCCAUCCGCCCAGAGCCCGACGGACCGUGAGAUCGUGACCUGGCUGAAGUCAGAUGCUUAACCGACUGCGCCACCCAGGCGCCCCCACAGUGAUUUUUUAAAAAAAGAUCCUGAGGUCACCUACAUUCUGACGGCCCAAGAUACCGCAUCUCCAAAGGCAGCCCAAUAUCCUCCAAAGAGCACCCCCAGGAGAAUCAAGCUUGACCCCUAUGCCAUCAAGUUCCCCCCGACUACCGAGUCAGCCGAGAAGAAAAUAGAAGACCACAACACACUUGUGUUCAUUGUGGAUGUCUAAACCAACAAGCACCAGAUCAAACAGUCUGUGAAGAAGCUCUAUGACAUUGACAUGGCCAAGGUCAACACUCUGAUCAGGCCUGGUGGAGAAAAGAAGGCAUGUGUUGGACUGGAUCCUGACUAUGAUCGUUUGGAUGUUGCCACCAAAAUUGGGAUCAUCUAAACUGAGUCCAGCUGGCUAAAUCUAAAUACAAAAUUUUCACCAUUAAAAAAAGUAU
rnacentral:lncRNA from 1 species